AAUGAGGCGAACCGGGGGAACUGAAACAUCUAAGUACCCCGAGGAAAAGAAAUCAACCGAGAUUCCCCCAGUAGCGGCGAGCGAACGGGGAGCAGCCCAGAGCCUGAAUCAGUAUGUGUGUUAGUGGAAGCGUCUGGAAAGGCGCGCGAUACAGGGUGACAGCCCCGUACACAAAAAUGCACAUGCUGUGAGCUCGAUGAGUAGGGCGGGACACGUGGUAUCCUGUCUGAAUAUGGGGGGACCAUCCUCCAAGGCUAAAUACUCCUGACUGACCGAUAGUGAACCAGUACCGUGAGGGAAAGGCGAAAAGAACCCCGGCGAGGGGAGUGAAAAAGAACCUGAAACCGUGU
rnacentral:rRNA from 1 species